rnacentral:tRNA from 1 species
GCCCACUUAGCUCAGCGGUAGAGCUAUCGGCUGUUAACCGAUCGGUCUGCGGUUCGAAUCCGUAAGUGGGCGCCA